rnacentral:lncRNA from 1 species
CAGUGAAUAUCCGAUAUGUCAACAAAAACAAAUAACUGCUGUAUGAUGAUUAUUAUUAAACAUAUCAAUAAUUAUUUAUUCAUUUGCUUUUUUGCUUUUUUUUUUUUUGCUUGGUUUUUGAGAAAUUUUUUUUUUAGCUUUGUUUUGUUUAAAGUAUUCCAGCAAAAUAAACAAAAACAUGUGCCUUUAUUCAUUGAAUUGGUGAAGCAAUAUGUGAGAUAAUCUAUGUCCAAAUUUUUUGCCCAUUUGGUCAACCAUGCUUUGCCCUUAAUGAUAACCUGGGCUGAUGAUAGUGUUUUCUUUUUUUUAAGAAUUUCAAUCUAGCAAUAUAAUGGUGCUUGGGUCCCAAGAAGGCAUUAUAUUUAAUUUAAACCCUCUUGUGCACUUUGCACUUAAUUUUCUCCUUUGGUUUUGAAUUAUAGGAAUAUAAGUUUAGAGUUGUGGGAAGGGUGAUUUCCGUCAAUAUGUAAACUGGUGGGUGACUGGGUGGCAUGAAGAAAUGGUCCAUCAUCUUGUCCAAAAACCAUGCAUGAUUUUGCAAAAAUGCAUUAUUGAUUCCAUCUAGAGCAGCAUAGAAAGGUCAAUUUUAGGAGCC